UGAGGAAGAGCAGCUUCAAGACCCUUGGCAGAUCAGGCCUGACACUCAGAUGCUUAAGUGAAACUGACCGAAGAGCCACCAGGCUGGAGUGUGAACUACAGCAAGUGAGAAUGCUUGUCCAUCCUUAAAGGGCAGCAGCUGAUUACUGCCACAUUUUAUGAUUGUAGUUGGAAACUCAUGAAGAGAAACAGACAACUCCCAGAACCUGUGCAGAUCAUACACAGCCAGCACACAGGGUCGUGUCCCUUGCCAGAGAAAGGACAUCAGUGGUUUGAAUGCCCUUCCGAGCCCUGAGAAGCAGACUUAAAUCUCUUUGAAUACACCAGCUCACCCUCCUCUGAAAAAACUGACGUGCAAAGAGCACGGCUAAUAGCCUUCUGCCCCCGCUUUCUUUUUCAAUAUCCCUGCUCUUCAUUGUUAUUUGAGGCAGGUCUCUUGGGAGCUACAUCUAAAACAGCCAUUUAUUUAUCUUUUCUUAGUUGGAUUCACACAGUUGGAUCAUCUAGGUCAAUUUAUGCCUCAUCACCUCACCCUCAACUUGGUUCCCAGCCUUUUUAGGUGCCUGUAUUAGUCUCCUAUAAUCUCAACCCAUUAAAAAAUUUACAGAGCUGGGUGGUUGUGACACACACCUUUAAUCCCAGCACUAAGGAGGAAGAGGCUGGUAGAUCUCUGUGAGUCUUUGAGUUGGAGUCCAGCCUGGUCUACUGAGCAAGUUUCAGGACAUCCAGGGCGACACAGAGAAACCUUGGCUCAGGUAGAAAAAAAAAAUUUACUGUAUACCCGAUGUGGUGGCACAGAUGUUUAACCUCAAUACUACUAAGGCAGUGGUAGGUGGAGUUCUCUGAGUUUGAGACCAACCUGGUCUACAUAGUGUGUCCCAGGCUACACACUCGGGGGAGGAAAAAAAAAAAAAACCCCACCACACACAAAAAAAGAAAAAGGUUUUAUGGGGCUAGG